rnacentral:rRNA from 1 species
AACGGCCGUACCAUGCUGAAUAUACCGGUUCUCGUUCGAUCACCGAAGUCAAGCAGCAUUGGGCGCGGUCAGUACUUGGGUGGGUGACCACCUGGGAACACCGCGUGCCGUU